rnacentral:rRNA from 1 species
UACGGGAGGCAGCAGUGGGGAAUAUUGCACAAUGGGCGCAAGCCUGAUGCAGCCAUGCCGCGUGUAUGAAAAAGGCCUUCGGGUUGUAAAGUACUUUCAGUCGUGAGGAAGGUGUUAAGGUUAAUAACCUUAGCAAUUGACGUUAGCGACAGAAGAAGCACCGGCUAACUCCGUGCCAGCAGCCGCGGUAAUACGGAGGGUGCGAGCGUUAAUCGGAAUUACUGGGCGUAAAGGGCACGCAGGCGGUUAAUUAAGUUGGAUGUGAAAUCCCCGGGCUUAACCUGGGAAUGGCAUUCAAGACUGGUUAGCUAGAGUCUUGUAGAGGGGGUAGAAUUCCGAUGUGUAGCGGUGAAAUGCGUAGAGAUGUGGAGGAAUACCGGUGGCGAAGGCGGCCCCUGGACAAAGACUGACGCUCAUGUGCGAAAGCGUGGGGAGCAAAACGAGGAUUAGAUACC